CAUCUCCUACGGGGCGCAGCAGUGGGGGAUAUUGCACAAUGGGGGAAACCCUGAUGCAGCGACGCCGCGUGAGUGAAGAAGUAUUUCGGUAUGUAAAGCUCUAUCAGCAGGGAAGAUAAUGACGGUACCUGAGUAAGAAGCCCCGGCUAACUACGUGCCAGCAGCCGCGGUAAUACGUAGGGGGCAAGCGUUAUCCGGAUUUACUGGGUGUAAAGGGGGCGUAGACGGUAUGGCAAGUCUGAUGUGAAAACCCGGGGCUCAACCCCGGGACUGCAUUGGAAACUGUCGGACUAGAGUGUCGGAGG
rnacentral:rRNA from 1 species